AUCAUGGCCCUUACGAGUAGGGCUACACACGUGCUACAAUGGUCGGUACAAAGGGUUGCCAACUCGCGAGAGUGAGCCAAUCCCGAAAAGCCGAUCUCAGUCCGGAUCGGAGUCUGCAACUCGACUCCGUGAAGUCGGAAUCGCUAGUAAUCGUAGAUCAGAAUGCUACGGUGAAUACGUUCCCGGGCCUUGUACACACCGCCCGUCACACCAUGGGAGUGGACUGCACCAGAAGUGGUUAGCCUAACGCAAGAGGGCGAUCACCACGGUGUGGUUCAUGACUGGGGUGAAGUCGUAACAAGGUAGCCGUAGGGGAACCUGCGGCUGGAUCACCUCCUUAACCGAUGA
rnacentral:rRNA from 1 species